CUCUCUCGCUGAGGCUGAAGCCACGCCCCCUUCCGGUUGCUCGCCCUGGUUUGUUACCGGUGUUUAGAACUUUCGGCGUGUUAUCUUGAUUGGCGUCGGGUAGCUACGUUUAGUGUUACCAACGGAAGCUACAGCGGCUGGAGCGGCUCCUGACGUGCUCUCCCUUGUGUGUAUGUGCCACGCAGCUGCCCAGAGUGGCAGCGCCAAGGACCCGCUGCUGUUUUGCCUUGCUGUUGUUUUUGCUCCACUUUGGCCAUGUAUCUGUGAUGGGCUUGCUAUACGGCUAACUGCAGCUAGCCUCCGCUAUUUCUCUGCCUCAUCGGCCUGGUCUGCUUCCCCUCGGCGUCAGCCGGAUUAGACCAGGCAGCUUGGGAGUUGGAUUUCUUUUGGAAUUGAAUAUUUAUCUUCUUGUUUUUAACAUUCGUACUCUUUGUGUUUUUAUUUGUGUCCACGUGGGGACACAGCUUUAUGGGUGGAUAUUAUUUGGGGUUUAGUUUCUUUUUGUUCGGCCUUAUGGCCUAUAUUGGUUUGAUUAAUUAAGAUCAAUUUUCUAUUUUAUUUGUUAUUUGGUUAGCUGUGUCUAAAGGAUUGGUUUAGUUUCUUUUUUUUACUUUGAACUUUAAAUGUCCGUGAUUCUUGGUAUUUUUUUUUUGGUAUUUUGUAUUCUGGGUUUAAAUGUUUCUUUCGUGAUGUUUAGUUUAUAGGAUUUUUGUUCUUGUUUAUAGUUUAAUUUCUUACUUUGUUUAUUGUUUAUUUUGUGUUCCCACUAAUCCCCCUUUUGUUUGGUUUCAGAGGCUGAGCACCUGUGGCAGGGAACGUGGUGUCGUCGGUGGUGGUAUCCCUCCCCGUGUGAUGUGUGAACCCUGGGUAUUUUUCAUUUAAUCCAUCACGUGUGUGUGUGUGAUUUUAUUCACCUGGUGACCUCUCCCUGGGCCCUGUUCCUCCCCUCCGGUGAUACAUCCUGCCACAUGGAAUUGUCGUCAGACCUCCAGUGACCUUACGGAAGAAGCCUUUCAUCAACAAAAGGCAGAGGAAAGCCCGAUUACUCUUUGCUGGGGAUUACAAGGAUUGGACCGUUUAUGAUUGGGCUUGGGUUCUCUUCAAUGAUGAAUCCAAUUUUCAGUUGAUGCCCACUCCAGCCAACAUACUGGUUAGGAGGAAGCCUGGACAAGCCUACAAACCAGACUGUCUUGCCAAUACAGUAAAACAUGGGGGUGGAUCAUUGACGUUCUGGGGUUGUUUCUGUGUGGGUGGAACAGUGCAAAUGUAAUUGUGUGAAGGGUAAAUGAAUCAGGUCAUGUAUAGGGCUACUCUUGAAAAGAGUCUUCUUCCAUCAGCUGGAAAACUCUUUUCUGCCUCCAGUGAUUGGAUUUUCCUACAAGACAAUACCCCUUACCACACGGCAAGGUCAGUUAAAGCCUGGAUGGAGAACCACAACACUGGGACCAUGCCUUAGCCUGCUCAAUCACCAGAUCUAAAUCCAAUUGAAAACCUGUGGAAAAUCAUCAGACGCAAAAUGGAGAAUCACAAGCCCAAAAACAAACCAAAUUUGUGCAACAGGAAUGGGCUGCUGUGACACCAGAUCGAUGUCAGAAACUGGUGGAGAGCAUGCCAAGACGUAUGGCUGCAGUCAUCAAAAACAAUGGUUAUGCAAUCAAGUACUAACUCCUGUGUGUGUCAUGUGAUAAAGCAGCCAGAAAAGAAAACAUGGAAUGCCUAAAAGCACUGUUUUUGUUUCUGGGAGUACAAUGCUAUUGAUGUAAUAACUUAAGUGAUUUUGGUUAUUAUCAAGAAAUCCAUGGAAAAUGGCUAGAUAUCGGCUCUUAAAUUAAACUCUUAAGAGCGAUUUUUGUUAUCAUUAUAUUUGUCCAAACAAAUGUACCUUUGUUUGUACCAGGCAUUAAAAUGGACAAGAAAUUGAAGAAAACAAGGGUGGUCUAGUAAUUUUUUCCAUGAUUGUAAAUGUACUCUAGGUUAGGUUCAGACAUUUCACAUGUGAAAAAUUCACAAUGCAUGUUUGUUUCCAGAAAUGUUACUUUUUAAAUAAAAACUGUCACAUGAGAAAACUGUUCAUGAAUUCAUAGGCAAAUGUUUGUUUCACAUAUUUGAUAUAAAUAAUUAUUGUCCAAUC